GGAACAACUUUGUCGAACGAGAGAGGAGACCGAGCGACAACGCCGACAGCAAGACGACAUUUUUUUGGCUCCGAUCGUGUUGCACAUGCAAGAUCUCCCAGUAAACAUCACUCUAAACACACCCAGGAUCCUCUCAGAAACAAUCUGGCCUUAGCUGACAACUCGGGAAAUGAAAUCAGCACCGUAACGCACAGAAAGCAACAAGCAGGGGAUGAUUUGCGCUUCCGAAGCACCUCAUUGCCCUCGAAUGUACGUUUUUAAAGUCAGCUGUUUUUCUUCAAAACUGGACUAUGUUCUCACCACAUCAUUGAACAUGAGUGCUUGCCCUCAAUGGUCCUUCAAGAUUUCAAUGACAGGCUUGAAAUGGAAGGGGAAAAGUUCUCCAUAACUAAACUCCAAAACAAACGGUUUUCAGGGCACGCUUGUUGUGUGUGAUGUCUUGGUGAUUUAAGUAAAAUUAAAAAGGACAGAAAGGGCUCAGGUCAAAGCCAGGACAAAUAGACUUGGCGCCACACUCAAAGAGGAUCAAAUACUUCAUGAAUAUUUGAAUAGCGUGAUGCUUUUGCUUCAAGUGUUGUUGGAGUUAAUGACGUUAUGGCAGUUUUCCUACCAUAUACAAACAACAGAUGAAAAGUUUACACAACAGCUCAGCAAAUACAAAGGAAAAGCUGCAGGGCAUCCUCUGCGUCCGGGUUGGAGAGGGUGUGCAGUGAGAAAAGCCUACAGACACACCUCAGGAACUUUGAAGGUCAACACAGGGUGAUGGAGGUGCUACGAGACAGUAAAGCGACCAAGGUGCAAAUCCUCAAGAUGAAGCAGUUUGUGCAGAAGUCGAUCCUGGCGCUGAGGAGGUGGGCCGUUGCCUCAAAGACACCAAUGCGCAGCAGGAGGACACGCUAUAUGCUGGAAAGAUGGAGCUGCAAUGGUUCCACAACAGGAUUCAACGAUCCAGACGCUUCAGAAACCUUGCAGAGACAUUCCGCUUUUCAACCUUCCCUGUCACCUGCUGGAGAGCUGCCAGGACGCUCAAUGCAAGCGUAGAAAAUAAAAGGCUAACUUAACAAGAUACAAAGUAAAAGAAAUACAGGAGAACUCACCAGCACAGAUGAUGGCACGGACAACAUGACAUGACAAUUAAAAAAAACAGCCAACUAAAUAUAAACAGACUGACAAAAUCAUGAGGCGCACCUGGAUAUGACAAGUGGCUGGGGGGAGCUGAUUGGGUGACACAAGGAGCAUGGCUAAUGAGGUCAGACGGAGAACAAAACAUAACGACAUGAACGAAGGACACAGGAAAACAAGACAGAACAUGGAGCAAAACUAAGUCGAACAAGUUUAGGCACCUCACAUUCGAGCAGAGUAUAGCGUACAUAACUUGAGUAAGUAGUACAAAGUGUGUGACAUGAUCGUGAGAAAAGAUGAUGCAGUUCAUGGAGUGAAAGGGCGAACACCACGUAAAAAAGCCAGACGUUCAACUCGAGCCAUGCGACAUCCAUCAGCUGAUUGGUCACCAAGAGGAACUUUCCCCUCAGCCACCGCAGGCAGGGAGCUCCGGUCUGGAGCAGAAGCGUCCG